AUUGAACGCUGGCGGCAUGCUUUACACAUGCAAGUCGAACGGCAGCGCGGGCUUCGGCCUGGCGGCGAGUGGCGAACGGGUGAGUAAUGCAUCGGAACGUGCCCAGUAGUGGGGGAUAGCCCGGCGAAAGCCGGAUUAAUACCGCAUACGACCUGAGGGUGAAAGCGGGGGACCGAAAGGCCUCGCGCUAUUGGAGCGGCCGAUGUCGGAUUAGCUAGUUGGUGGGGUAAAGGCUUACCAAGGCGACGAUCCGUAGCUGGUCUGAGAGGACGACCAGCCACACUGGGAAUGAGACACGGACCAGACUCCUAAGGGAGGCAGCAGUGGGGAAUUGUGGACAAUGGGGGCAACCCUGAUCCAGCCAUGCCGCGUGCGGGAAGAAGGCCUUCGGGUUGUAAACCGCUUUUGUUCGGGAAGAAAUCCUCUGGGCUAAUACCCCGGAGGGAUGACGGUACCGGAAGAAUAAGCACCGGCUAACUACGUG
rnacentral:rRNA from 1 species